GCCGCCGCCGAGACCCUACGUCCCCGGGAGGGGCGGGACGGGCGCGUCGAGCCCCGCGCCGGCCUCGGGGUCGGGACUCAGGAGGACCCCCACAGGACCGUGUCAGCCCGGGUUGGACUUGGGGGAACCUUCUCAUGCCCAUGCCUGGGGAAGUGAACAUCACCACGAUCUCCAGCUCAGCCCCAUUCUAAAAGCAGCCGGAUUGGGAGGCAGACAUUCACUGCUCAGAGGACAGCUAGAAUGGGUUGGCCAAGGGCUUGCCGUGCCUGUUAAGUAGAAGUUACUCGCCUUGGAGCACCGCGUGCCUGCUUCUGGUUUGGGAUUGUCUCCGACAGGUGGCACGUACCUGCCUCUUCUCCGACGAUGGACGAGCGGAGCCGGGCACAAGCAUGGAGCUGUGGUCCACUGAACUCAUCCGUCUUCCUGAAACCUGUCACCUGCCCUGCCUGACAGUCACCACCACUGGGCCUGGGAGUUGGGCAGUGAUCACCCCUGUGAGGGGCACGCUGGGCACACAUGGAGGAAGCAAGAGGCCAGAGCUUCGGGGCUGCCCUCAGCAAGCUCCUCACCUGACAGGAGGGAUGGUACACAUAGGAGACCCAGGAGCAAGGGUGAGAUGCAUGCAUAGAGCUUCACAUGAGGCCUCCCCCACAGGGCCACAGGUCGGGGCAUGAUUAUUCUGCUUAGUCCAAUCCAGAGACCUCACCCAACGUCAUCCCCAUCUUCACUGGUAUCAUGAGCAUCAUCAUCACCAUCAACAGCAGAUUAUCAUACCUGGUGUUCACUGAACACCAGGUACGUGCCCAGCUUUACACAUUUUACCUCAGUAGCCCUCACCACUGUCCUGAGACUCUGCAAGGGUAGUAACAUCACCUCUUUGGGAUCUGUUAUGGGCUGAAUUGUGUCCCCCUAAAAUUCAUAUCUUGAGAUCCUCACCCCUGUACCUCGGAAUGUGAUUGUAUUUGGAGAGAGGGCCUUUAAAGAUGUGAUCAAGAUAAAACGAGGUCAAAUGAGUGGGCCCUAAUCCAAUAUGACUGGUGUUCCUACAAGAAGAGGGGAUUAGGACACAUACCCACAGAGGGAAGACCAUGUGAAGACAUAUUUGGGAUAGCCAUCUGCAAGCAAGGAGAGAGGCAUCAGAAGAAACCAGCCCUGCUGACACCUUGAUCUUGGACUUUCAGCCUCAAGAACUAGAAGGAAAUUUCUAGCAAAGAAAUUUCUGAGCAAAGAAAUUUCUGGUGAAGCUGCUCAGUCUGUGGUACUUAUGAUAGCAGCCCCAACAAACAAAUGCAAGAUCUGAGAGCUGGGAGAGACCUCGGAAGUCAUCCCAUGGUUGACCCCCUUUUUACUGAAGGGGAGUUGAAGCCCAGAGAGGGGAGGGGCAAGGCCCUAAAUAAGUCAAAGACAGGACUCCCAGCCCAAGGCUUGUCAGACCAGGAUGCCAGAGCUGCAGGGAUGGAGCAA